rnacentral:rRNA from 1 species
CCUACGGGUGGCUGCAGUAGGGAAUCUUCGGCAAUGGACGCAAGUCUGACCCAGCAACGCCGCGUGAAGGAAGAAGGCUUUCGGGUUGUAAACUUCUUUUAAGGGUGAAGAGCAGAAGACGUUACCCCUUGAAUAAGCCACGCCUAACUACGUGCCAGCAGCCGCGGUAAUACGUAGGUGGCAAGCGUUGUCCGGAUUUACUGGGUGUAAAGGUCGUGCAGCCGGAGCGACAAGUCAGAUGUGAAAGCCACGGGCUCAACCCGAGAACUGCAUUUGAAACUGUUUCCCUUGAGUGUCGGAGAGGUAAGCGGAAGUCCAUGUGUAGCGGUGAAAUGCGUAGAUAUAAGGAAGAACACCAGUGGCGAAGGCGGAUUACUGGACGAGAACUGACGGUGAGGCGCGAAAGCGUGGGGAGCAAACAGGAUUAGAUACCCUAGUAGUC